UAAAUUAUGUUUAGAUAGCCAUGCAUGUCUAAGUAUAAGCAAUCUAUACGGUGAAACUGCGAAUGGCUCAUUAAAUCACUUAUCGUUUAUUUGAUAGUACCUUGCUACAUGGAUACCUGUGGUAAUUCUAGAGCUAAUACAUGCUGAAAACCUCGACUUCGGAAGGGGUGUAUUUAUUAGAUAAAAAACCAAUGCCCUUCGGGGCUCCUUGGUGAUUCAUAAUAACUUAACGAAUCGCAUGGCCUUGCGCCGGCGAUGGUUCAUUCAAAUUUCUGCCCUAUCAACUUUCGAUGGUAGGAUAGUGGCCUACCAUGGUGGCAACGGGUAACGGGGAAUUAGGGUUCGAUUCCGGAGAGGGAGCCUGAAAA
rnacentral:rRNA from 1 species